AACGAACGCUGGCGGCAUGCCUAACACAUGCAAGUCGAACGAGAUCUUCGGGUCUAGUGGCGCACGGGUGCGUAACGCGUGGGAAUCUGCCCUUUGGUUCGGAAUAACAGUUGGAAACGACUGCUAAUACCGGAUGAUGACGAAAGUCCAAAGAUUUAUCGCCAGAGGAUGAGCCCGCGUAGGAUUAGCUAGUUGGUGUGGUAAAGGCGCACCAAGGCGACGAUCCUUAGCUGGUCUGAGAGGAUGAUCAGCCACACUGGGACUGAGACACGGCCCAGACUCCUACGGGAGGCAGCAGUGGGGAAUAUUGGACAAUGGGCGAAAGCCUGAUCCAGCAAUGCCGCGUGAGUGAUGAAGGCCUUAGGGUUGUAAAGCUCUUUUACCAGGGAUGGUAAUGACAGUACCGGGAGAAUAAGCUCCGGCUAACUCCGUGCCAGCCGCCGCAGUAA
rnacentral:rRNA from 1 species